AUAUUUGAGAGUUUGAUCCUGGCUCAGGAUGAACGCUGGCGGCGUGCCUAACACAUGCAAGUCGAGCGAUCUCUUCGGAGAGAGCGGCGGACGGGUGAGUAACGCGUGGGUAACCUGCCCUGUACACACGGAUAACAUACCGAAAGGUAUACUAAUACGGGAUAAUAUAUAAAAGUCGCAUGGCUUUUGUAUCAAAGCUCCGGCGGUACAGGAUGGACCCGCGUCUGAUUAGCUAGUUGGUAAGGUAA
rnacentral:ncRNA from 1 species